rnacentral:rRNA from 1 species
AUACGGAGGGUGCAAGCGUUAUUCGGAAUCACUGGGCGUAAAGGACGCGUAGGCGGGUUGGCAAGUCAGAUGUGAACUCCUACAGCUUAACUGUAGAACUGCAUUUGAAACUGCUAACCUAGAGUAUGGGAGGGGGAGAUGGAAUUAGUGGUGUAGGGGUAAAAUCCGUAGAUAUCACUAGGAAUACCGAAAGCGAAGGCGAUCUCCUGGAACAUAACUGACGCUAAGGCGUGAAAGCGUGGGGAGCAAACAGGAUUAGAAACCCCUGUAGUCC